rnacentral:rRNA from 1 species
CGCUGGCGGCAGGCCUAACACAUGCAAGUCGAGCGGCAGCGACAUCAACAAUCCUUCGGGUGCGUUGAUGGGCGGCGAGCGGCGGACGGGUGAGUAAUGCCUGGGAACAUGCCUUAGUGUGGGGGAUAACCAUUGGAAACGAUGGCUAAUACCGCAUAAUCUCUACGGAGCAAAGCGGGGGACCUUCGGGCCUCGCGCGCUAAGAUUGGCCCAGGUGGGAUUAGCUAGUAGGUGGGGUAACGGCUCACCUAGGCGACGAUCCCUAGCUGGUCUGAGAGGAUGAUCAGCCACACUGGAACUGAGACACGGUCCAGACUCCUACGGGAGGCAGCAGUGGGGAAUAUUGCACAAUGGGGGAAACCCUGAUGCAGCCAUGCCGCGUGUGUGAAGAAGGCCUUCGGGUUGUAAAGCACUUUCAGCAGUGAGGAAGAGGUGGUGUUUAAUAGAUGCCAUCUUUGACGUUAGCUGCAGAAGAAGCACCGGCUAACUCCGUGCCAGCAGCCGCGGUAAUACGGAGGGUGCGAGCGUUAAUCGGAAUUACUGGGCGUAAAGCGCAUGCAGGCGGCGUGUUAAGCCAGAUGUGAAAGCCCGGGGCUCAACCUCGGAAUCGCAUUUGGAACUGGCAUGCUAGAGUCUUGUAGAGGGGGGUAGAAUUUCAGGUGUAGCGGUGAAAUGCGUAGAGAUCUGAAGGAAUACCGGUGGCGAAGGCGGCCCCCUGGACAAAGACUGACGCUCAGAUGCGAAAGCGUGGGGAGCAAACAGGAUUAGAUACCCUGGUAGUCCACGCCGUAAACGAUGUCUACUUGGAGGUUGGUGUCUUGAACACUGGCUUUCGGAGCUAACGCGUUAAGUAGACCGCCUGGGGAGUACGGUCGCAAGAUUAAAACUCAAAUGAAUUGACGGGGGCCCGCACAAGCGGUGGAGCAUGUGGUUUAAUUCGAUGCAACGCGAAGAACCUUACCUACUCUUGACAUCCAGAGAACUUUCCAGAGAUGGAUUGGUGCCUUCGGGAACUCUGAGACAGGUGCUGCAUGGCUGUCGUCAGCUCGUGUUGUGAAAUGUUGGGUUAA